UACGGAGGGUGCAAGCGUUAUCCGGAUUCACUGGGUUUAAAGGGUGCGUAGGUGGGCUAGUAAGUCAGUGGUGAAAUCUCCGGGCUUAACCCGGAAACUGCCAUUGAUACUAUUAGUCUUGAAUACCAUGGAGGUGAGCGGAAUAUGUCAUGUAGCGGUGAAAUGCUUAGAUAUGACAUAGAACACCAAUUGCGAAGGCAGCUCGCUACGCGGUUAAUUGACACUGAGACGCGAAAGCGUGGGGAGCGAACAGG
rnacentral:rRNA from 1 species